AAGCACAUGAAGAACAGCAGUGAAACCAAGGAUUCUAGCAAGGCCAGCUAUUAGCAAAGCAGUAAGCAGGAACUGGACUAGAUACCAAAUGAUGGGGAAACAGACUCAUAGACCUAAGAACAUAGGAAGAAGAGAUGUAACAUCAACAGAAAGGCAAAAGCCUCAGGUAACUUUUGUAAGCAACACAAAUGGAAAAGAAAUGAGUCAAAAAUCCAGUCAUUCAGAGGAAUUAAUGCAAUUGGCCAUAUGUCAUGAAGACAUCAUCAGUAAAUGGCAAUCCUGAUGCGUACAGGAGUCAACAUAGGUUCAGGGGCAAUGCAGCAUCUCUGCCUUCUUCUGGGUAUUCCUCUUAAAUGGCUUGACAAUAACCACCAACCAGCACUGCCAUACAUGUGUCCUGUACCUAUCAGAGGCACUAGGGCAGUUUUGGAACAGAGAGCCCAUAGAAAGGCUACUGCUUAGAGAUAGCCAUUUUCUUCUUGGAGCUGGACCAGUGAAUUAGACGCAUGGAGGAGAGCUGGAAAAUCCCUUUUUGGAAGAGCUACACAAAACCAAAAUUUGGAAUUCGUAGCUAAUAACCAUAAAAAUUAAGAAAUGACUGUUGGAAGAGCACUGGAAAUCACCUGAUUAAGUUAAGAAAAACUAACUAGCUCAUGAGAAAAUUAUUUUCAGGCCAGCUGUAGCCUGUACCCUUUUGAAAAUCCCCUGACUAGUGAGUUCAUUUUUGUUGGAAUAUAGAAUUUUUCUUUUCUAAGCAGAUGUAAACUUGUCUUUCUGUGGUUGGCUUUGGAGCCCACAAGAUAAUUAAAUGGCAGUGCUAACUGAAAGCCUGGGCUGUGCUUAUAGGUUCAAGAGGCAGGUAGAAGACACUGGGUUGGGGAAGUAGGGCUAUGGAACUGUGGCUCUGGCUAAGAUUACUAAUGUCUGUGAGCGCUGGAAGAAGGGAAAUAGAAAUGAAAAAACAUGAAUAUGGUUGAUGGGCCAGACUGAGUGUUGAGGUCCUAUGAUGUAUCAAAGAAUGGCUUACAUGAAAGUUAUAAGGUGUGGAUGGAAAAGGUCAGUGUGGAAGAGAACAGAAUUACUAGCUUUAAAGCUCAGAGACAUCUGCUUUUCAGGAAAAAAAAAUACAAAAGUCUAUGAGUGAAGGAAGGAGACUAAGAGAAAGAAAGGUGAGGAAAAGAGGAAGAGAAUAAAAAGGAACAGAAAUGAGAAAAAUAUGACACAAGAAAAAAAGAAAAAUUAGGAGGAAGGAAAGAAGAAAGGAAGGCAGAGAGGGAGGAAAGGAAGGAAGGAGACAGGGAGGAGAAACAGAAAAAGAGAGAAUGAAAGAAGUGGAAAUCAAGAAAGAAACAACAUAAGAUUCUACAGAGAGGACUCAUUAUAGGCAAAAUAAGUAAAAGAAAUUUCUUUUGGCAUUGUCCUAUCUCCCUUGCAUUCUCAUCUACUAAGCCUUUUCUUCCCUGUGGGCAAUAUUAUUGGCAUGAGUAAACUCUCACCUUAAUAUUCCUAAUAACCAUAAGUUUGUCCUCUACUCCCUAAAACUACUGCCGUGUGUGCCAUGCUCCAAAGUAAUCUCUUAUUCUCACUUCGUAACCUUUCAUCUCAGCUGUGUGUCAGUUAAGAAGAAUUUCAUCAAACUAAGCCUCUUGGAUUUUAAAAGAAUGCUCUUGCCCAGUUAUAUCUUUAGUUGGCAUCAUUUCAGGUAUGAAAAGGCUCUGCUCUAUGUGCCCUUAUCAAUCCUGAAAGAGCUAUCUCCCCAAGCAAAAUGAGAAGGACAAUCAUAACUGGCUCAAGGCUAGUCCAAUCUGGCUCUGUCCUUAGAUCCAAAAAGUUGAAGUUGUAAGUGACCCUAGAAAUGAUCUAUUUCACACUUAUUGUCCAGACAAUGAAACUCCAGUGGAGAGUGGAUAGGACCCUUCUAGGGUCGCAUGAUUGCUAGUGGCAAAGCCAGGUCUGAAUCAUAUCACUGCUUAUGGAGAACUUGUUGCCCUCACCAUUGUCCUCAAAUUUCUCCUGUUGACAGCAGGAUCCCUCAGAGAAAAGAUAGCUCCAGCCAAAGAACUCAGUGUAGCCCCAUGAACUCUCCAAAUAAUCAUAAACACAGCUAUAGUAGACAAGAAAGGCUAUCUUCUCAUGACCCUUUCUGUGGUUAAAAUCCUGAAAAACUGGGCACUACGGCUAUAUUCCAAACAUUCUUGCAAAUAGUAUUUCCAGACACAGACAAUGAUUCUCAGAGAUUCUCACCAUAGACGGUGAGGCAGGCCGUUCCUGAGAUCUUCCCAAAACCAAAGGUAUUGAAGAGACACAUGUAAC
rnacentral:lncRNA from 10 species